rnacentral:rRNA from 1 species
CCUACGGGUGGCAGCAGUGAGGAAUAUUGGUCAAUGGACGAGAGUCUGAACCAGCCAAGUAGCGUGAAGUAUGACUGCCCUAUGGGUUGUAAACUUCUUUUAUAAAGGAAUAAAACGAGGCACGUGUGCCUUUUUGCACGUCCUUUAUGAAUAAGGAUCGGCUAACGCCGUGACAGCAGCCGCGGUAAUUCGGAGGAUCCGAGCGUUGUCCGGUUUUAGUGGGUUUAAAGGGAGCGUAGAUGGGUUGGUAAGUAAGUUGUGAAAGUUUUAGGCUCAACCGUAAAAUUGCAAUUGAUACUGGCAGUCUUGAGUACAGGUGAGGUAGGCGGAAUUCGUGGUGUAGCGGUGAAAUGCGUAGAUAUCACGAAGAACCCCGAUUGCGAAGGCAGCUUACUAAACUGUGACUGACAUUGAUGCUCGAAAGUGUGGGUAGCAAACAGGAUUAGAUACCCUGGUAGUC